AGUGCAGAUCGGGGAGAGAUCCGGCGGCUCAGGCCGGGCACCGAAGGGGCAAACCGGGCGAGGUGCAUGCGCCCGGCGAAACUCUCAGGUCAAAGGACCCUGUCUGCGCC
rnacentral:ncRNA from 2 species